GCCCCGGCUGGUGCCGGUGGUCUUCGCCGCCCUCCUCGCGGCGGGGCUGGCGCGCAUCCUGGUUCUGCGCCGGGCCGGGGCGC
rnacentral:tRNA from 1 species